UGUGGGAGCGAGCUUGCUCGCGAUAGCGGUGUAUCAGCCGAUGCCUGUGUCGAAUCUGAUGACGCCAUCGCGAGCAAGCUCGCUCCCACA
rnacentral:misc_RNA from 1 species